rnacentral:rRNA from 1 species
GGGGUGGAGUAACACGUGGGUAACCUGCCCGGAAGUGGGGAAGUACCUCGGGGAAACUCGAGCUAAUACCGCAUGACAUCUUUGGGACGAAAGUCCUGACGAUCAAAGCGGGGUCGCAAGAUCUCGCGCUACCGGAUGGGCCCGCGCCCGAUUAGCUAGUUGGUGAGGUAACGGCUCACCAAGGCUUCGAUCGGUAACCGGCCUGAGAGGGCGAUCGGUCACACCGGAACUGAGACACGGUCCGG